UUAUUGAUUAUUUUAUUCAAAAAAUCAGUUUCGAAUAAAGCAAAACGAAUUCGGCAAAGAACGUGUAUCUUCGUCGAUUUUCGUGACAGUUACCACCACCACUCUACCCACGCGAGACAGGUAGCGAGGAAGAGAUCAUUUCUCAACGAUCAGUCUGAUAGAUAGGUCGAAGCUCUUAUUCUGACUAAAUUUUUAUAACAUCGCGAAAAAUUUUUAUUACAUUUAUUCUAAUAUUUAAUAUUAUCGUUAUAUAUUAUAGUAUAUUAGUAUAUAUAUAUAAGUACAUAUAUAUAUAGUAUAUUAUCGUUUAUUAAUUUUGAUUAAUAUUUUUUAAUUACUAUUUAUUUAAUUUAUUCGUUUACAUACACUUAUUUAUACAUUCAUUUUUUGAUUUAUUUUUUUAAUUAUGAUUUUUCAAUCGAUUCAUUUAUUCUUUUAAUUAUUUAUAUACUUAUUUAUUAAUUCAUACUUUGAUUUAUUUUUUAAUUUACAUUUUUUUUCUAUCCAUUUAUUUUUUAAUUAAUUUAUAUUUUCAUUUGUCUAUUUAUUCAUUUACUUAUGCUUUUAUCUAUUUAUGGAUUGAUCGAUUCAUUUAUUAAUUUACUUUUCUUUUUAUUUUUUGUUUUAUUUCAUUAAUUUAUUUUUUCUCAUAUGGGUCUCGAUGCGUAGCCACCUCCUCGUGGGUGAGACCCGGUAAUUGGCAUUGCUUUCCAAACCAACAUUUCUUCCAAAAAUAUAAAUUUUAUUAUACUUAAAGCAAGCUUAAAGAUUACAUUUACUACAAUACACUCUGAGAGCAAUGGCAAGCGAAGAGCUACGCACACCUUUUACGCAGUCCAGUCUUUUAACAACUUUGUACAAUUUUAAUCAUUUCGAUCAAUUAUCACUAGACUGGCCUCCCGAUUAAGAUUAAGUUAGAUCAAGUUUAUUGUAAAUCCGUAUCAAGACGUGCUCCCCCAACUCGAAGCGAAUAAAAAUAAAAUUCUCAUUUUUUAUUAACGUUUCACUUUUUCGAGCCACUGACGACCAACGGUGUCGCGCAACGGUGGCAGGCGCCGUUGGCUGGGUGCUCUGCUUUCGGUGGUCGGUCGAGGGUCCGCGCUCCUAAUCGAUUGGUGACUUCGAGCACUCGAUCAGGAGUUUGGCUUCGCGGUGGAACGUCGUUCUCGUAAAUCGGCUCAGUGGUGGUCAGGGACAAUGUCCUUUGCUCCUUCCCGUGUCGUCAGAACGUAAGUCGUUCCACCGCUUAGCCGUUGUCGUAACCCCCGACCGGUCACGGGUAUCAUCCGUCCAACGAGUGUCCCAGUAAGUCCAUCGUUGUAAGUCGCGACGACGUGGGUCCGACGGUGACUUUUUUCGAUCCUUCGAAUAUCUUAUUUUUCCUUAGAUCGUGAAUAUUUUUUUCAAAGUUUUCGCUUCAAGUUGGACGAGAGUAUUAUUCUUGAUACGGAUAGAUCGUAAGACAGAUUUUAGUAUAUCGAAGCAUUUUAGGUUAAGUUAGUUUUAGGUUUUAGGUUAAGUUAGUAAUGAAACUCGCCGAUGGACGACGAUGCGGGAUAACGGAUGGGCAAUUUUUUAGAUUUUAAUAUCUCGAUAAAUUGAAUUGUUUAAAAUUUAUUCUACCUUAUAUUGUAAAUUUUAGGAAUCAAAAUUCCAUCCAAUACGCCCGGCAUGGUCGGAUCAUCGUGGGAUGCGCGCCUAACCUUAAUUGUAACUGUAUAAUAUAAGAUAAUUUAGAUAAGAUUAAUCAAGUUUCUUGUGAGCGCAUCCCGUACAAAGAUACGCCUCCUUGAACAGCGAAAAUUAUGAAAUCUUGUAUUUUAAUUCAUUCCAAUUAUUUCGUUCGAAUGUUCCUCUAAAAUAUUCCGAUCGUAUUCCGUACGUUUACGAGUCGUCCCUCUCGCUCUUCGAGCCCGAUUCGAGUCGACUGUCGCGCCGCCGUGGUCGCAGGCAUCGUAUAUUGUCGUCAGGGCUUCUUCUCAUGUGGUCGCAAGGCGUUCCACAGUUAGAAUAUCAUUCGUUCGUGAAUCGAUCGAAAUAAGCCGCAUAUAUCGUCAAUGGCUCGUAUUUUGAAUUUCUUUCGCUUAUUUCUUUCCUCCUCUUGGUUUUCGUAUCUCUUUUUGGAUAUUCCGUUUUUUCCUCAGAAUUUUCGAUCGAGGUAUUUAUUUAUUUUUCUUAAAGAUUUCUCUUGUUUCGCUUUAAGGGGGCGUAUCUUUGACACGGUUUGCGUAAAUGUAUAGAUUUAAGCCUCUGUAAAGAUCGAUGUAAAGAUUUUUGUUAUGCAAAUUUAUAUUUUUAAAUUUAUUUAUAUAUGUGUAUAUGAUAUUUAUUUCUUAUGAUAUUAAUUUUUUAUAUUCUUUUAAUUUAUUUGAUUCUUGUUAUUUUUUUUAAUUUUUAUUAAUCUUUUAUUAUUUUGGUUUUUGUUUUUUGUUUUAGCUUUAGGUGGGUCUCGACGCGUAGUCACCUCCUCGUGGUGAGACCUGGUAAUUGGUAUCGAUUUUUCUCUAAAUAAAUUUUCAAAGAUUAAUCGUUUAAAAAUCGAUACCAAGCUAAGAACUACGCAGUACCUGUAGUUCAGUUUAAUCUUUAACUCUAAAAUAAACCCUUUCGAAUAUUUCAAUCAUUUAAUUGGCACCAUAUUAUACAUAUCAUCGUAUACAAUUGUCCAAUAAAUAACAACAAAUAUAAAUACUAAAUUUUUUUCUCUUUUUCCCCUUUUUAUCCAAUCUUAUCUAUCCCCGAUCUAAUCCAACGCUAAUCCGUGAGAACGAGUUGGAAAAAUAAAUAAACAAAUAAAUAAAUAAAUAUCACGUCAAAGGGUAUGGAAUAUGUCGAAACGCGAUCAACGAGAGAAAAUGUUCGAUUGCGUCCACGACGACGAUAUAUUACCGCAGCGUAGCUAAGACGAUAAUUAUAUGCUGGAAGCGUUGCCAUUAUCUAACCAUAACUACUCCCACCUAGAUUCCGCACAAUGCGUCCGGAGUGGGACCUUUAAACGGUUAUCGUUGCUCAAUGCAGCCACCCGAGACCAGCCAUGCGAGCGCGAGUGUUGCAACCCUGGCGCAACGAGCUGAAUUGUCGUUAAUGUUGAAUUACAAGACGAGAAUUUAUUCUUAACUGCAUGCGUAUGCGUAUUCGAGAUUUGAAAUCGUUCCUCGUGAUUUUUAUCUGGACGGAUAUAAAAAUGUACGGAGAUUCAUCUAUCUAGUUUCGCUAGUUUCGAUAUUCGAAGAAUAAAUAACGUGAGUUUCUUCGAUAUUUGACUUUUCUUUUUUUCUUUUCUGUGAAUAGAUACGUUUCGUCUUUGGAUAGAAAUUUUUGUUUUCUCGAUAAGUGAAAAAGAGGAAUUUUUAUUUUUUUAUUAAUUAUUCGUUGAUAUAACUGGUUCAUAAAUUUACAGCAAUUUUUGAAAUUCAUAUGCGCGUGGCGAACCGAGCGAGUUAUUACGAGAAUGGAUAUACGCGCUUCGAGAAGAUGUAAUGUAUCAUUUUAUCUACAGAUUCGGGAUAAAAAUCGUUUCGUGAUGUAUUCUCUUUUGCGGUAGAAUAUAGAGAUAAUAGUCACGAAUAAUGAUGGAUGGAUGUUCGAAUCUUAAUAAAAAGAAUCAAAGUUUUCAAGACUACGAAGAUUCGAAUUCACUUUGAAUUCUAAUUUUAGAAUUCCUCGAAGCGAUUGAUAAGUCGUGCGAGAUUUUCAAGAAAUCGUAUAUACCGUUCUAUUUCAAGGAGAAUAACAGAUUACUUGUUGCAAGAUUUUCUUAGAAUUAUCAAACGAUUUCCAAGAAAUAUUGGAGACUUGGAUCCAUUCGUAAUCGCUAUUAUCGUGACAAUUUGUAUAAAAUUCGAUUUCGAGAAUCCAUCAUUAUCGUCGAGCAUUAUCGAUAUUCGUUUCGAAGAAAAUCAAAGUAGAUUAACCAACAUUCGUCUUCGAAGUAAUACGAAUUCUCAACACCGGUGGCGAGAUGUCGCUGCGUGGAAGAGAAGCGUGGAAAUCAGCGGAUAGAACGCGAAACGGAGAUCACGCGUGAACAAGAAAAUAGCGGGAGGCGAGGGUAGAGGAGGAAGGCUUGGAAAAAGGCUACCAGAACCAGUCACGUGCGACCAUGCAACGUGCCGGCUGCACUUAUGCUAGGUUCACGGCCUGCCUCUACUACCUUGCCACUAGUUGUGACAUAAUAGGAUCUCGCCACUUCACCGGCUAUUCUACGCUCGAUUCAAUCGUGGAGAAAUCGUGGCAACUAGCUCGAAUCGACCAGUUUCGAAUCUUUUCCAGUUUCACAUUGUUAAAAAUUGGCAAGUGAUUUUGGUGAAAUGAAGGUUUUUUAGGUUAGGAUUUUCAUUCAAUUGUUUUUCUUUUUUUUUUUUAGAUUUUUAGAUUAUCACGUACAUACUUUUACAUAGCAAUGCUUUAACUUUGAUAUUUAAUCGUUUGUGUGCGAUACAUGGAUCGAUAGUUCUGUCAAUACUUUUUCAAUUUCUGAUAAAAUUCUUUCGCGUUUGCUUAUUACAUAGGGAAUAAUAAUCUUAUCUUUUAUUUUUUUCUUUCUCCUAUAGAUAUUUUGUGCCCGCGUCAUUCCUUUAAUUAUUCAUUACAUGAUGAUUCUUUUCUAUUCCAUAUCUAUUAUAUCUAAUCAAUAAUUAUUUCUAUCUAUUCUAUAAUUUAUAUAAAAUAUUUUUGAUAUAAAAUAUGAAAAAAAAACGAUAUCUUCGAUCUUUCUUAACAUAGUUAUUCAAUAUACAGAAUGUAAGAACAUAGAUAAGAAAUUAUCUUCUUUAUCUAAACCUUGAAACAACACAACAACAACAAUACUCACUACAUGCAAAAAGGAGUUUAAUUUUACUUUUUAAUCUUUUUAUAUCAAAUAAAAAAUGAACAAAAAUUCAAUUAGACAGAUAGAGAUUUAAAACAUCUCUAUCUAUCUAAUCUUUCAUUCAUUUCAUUAAUCCUAACCUAUACUCUCUCAAACUCCACACAUUACCAUCAAACCUCUAUCGUUUAUUAUCCAACAUACGUCCAAUCGUAAUAGGCAAUAAAAUCUCUCAAACGUCAAUAAGCGUCGACCAUUCUGAAUCUUCGCAGGCAAAUAAUCUUACAUCUAAAUAUCGUCGCGAUCCACCAAGCGUUGGAUCAAACCUCGCAUAAUCGAAUUCCAUUUCCUCGUCCAUCGAACCCCUCGUCUCUUCGAACAAUAACAUCGAGCUCGACGAUUAAACGUCCAGGAUUCGAGUUCUACACGAGGCGGAGGAAAAGCGGAGAAAAUCGUGGACUCGAUCCCUCGUGGGAGGGGGCGCAAAGCGUCUUCGACCCUUAAAUCCAAUUAACGAGCCACCCUCCGCGUAGAGGCCGAUAAAUAAUCGUGGCCUGUUCCUUCCCCCUCCCCUGGGAUUAAACGCAGUCAGAAUCUGUUCUGCGGCACGAAAGGACGCGCGUUUCCGUGUAUCCUGUUCCGUUUCAAUUUCACGCGAUGGAUUCUCCUCGUCUCGGUUCGUUGUCUCGCGUCUCGAGGGGUUAAUAGAAGGCCAAAAAAAAAAAAAAGGAGGGAUGUUGGAUCGAGUUUAAUGUUGGACUCGAAGGAAGUAGUUAUCCUUAUCCGAAGGGUAUUAUUUUUAUGCCGGGUUUGAAAUGAAAGUUGUAAGAAAGUUUGCGCCUUGACAUAGAGCAAAUCUUUGAUCGAACUUUGAAAAUUUUUUUUUAUCGAGUAACUUUCAAAACGUCGCGAGAAUUUUUGGAGAAUUUUAAAAAACAGCAGACCUUUCGUCUUAAGUAAGGUUUCUUUUCCUCUUUCGAAAUUUUUCUAAUUUUCUUUCUUAAAAGCUUUGAAUAAUUUUUAAUAUUAGAAAAAAGGAUCGAAUUUUUCGUUUUUAAACUCGUUCGAUCCAUUUAUCGAUUUAAACGUAUCGAACAAACGUAACAAGAGAUACAUAUACGUACUUAAUAUUAUGAAAUAGUUCAGGAUAUGGCCGAUCGCGAGCAAAAAAGCGAUACACGCACACGUGCGCGCAAUUAGUCUAUCAUCAGACGCGAGCGCGCGCGCGCGUAUGACUCAAACCAGAUGGAGGAUUGAGCAACAAAGUUCUCUCUUUCUCUUUUUCGAGUAGUGGUCUUAUUUAUUCUUUUAUUACGUUACAUGUUUCCGUUACAUAUUCUUUUUUUAUUCAUUCUACGUGUUGUUUUAAACGUUUCUUCUGUUAAAAACAUCACAUUUUCUUUUUUUUUUUUUUACACGUUUGCUUUCCCAAUUUUCUUAAAAAUAGUUAAAAGCGAAACAAAGGUAAAAUCAGACAUAUAAACGACAUAUAAAAUAAAUAAUAGUCGAGUUAAGA